rnacentral:lncRNA from 1 species
AACUACCAAGUGUGCAAAUGGUGCUUGCAAAAAAAUUAAUAUAAUUUUUUUAGGGUUAAAUUGGUAAUUUAAUUAUUUUUUAUUAAUGUCCAAACAAAAAAAUUAUAAAAGGGUAAUAUUGUAAAAGUAAGCCAAAAGAAAUAAAAAAUAACGGUAGAUGUAUUAAUACUUUAACGGCAAUGAUGUUUCGAAGCAUUUUUAAAAAUAUAUGGACUAAACAGACACUAAUCUUAAAAUAUAUGGACUAAAUGAGCUUUUACCCGAAAUUAAAUAAUAGUUGCAUCUCCAUCGGAUUGCAUAAAAGUCAAAAGAAAAUAUUAUCCUUGUCAGUCUUCUCAAGACCCAUCACUUGGCUAAUAUUGAUUAGAAUUUGAUUCCAUUUAAAUUUUAAAAAAAAUCUACAAAAUUGUCCAAAUGCUUGCUUGCAAAACUUGGAAGUAGACUGGAAGCAUUGUUCUUUCAUGUCUUCGUAUAGCACACGACAAUUUAAUCCAAACUGUCCCUUAAUCACGUAAUUAAAACUGGGAAGAUAUAUUGGCCAAACAGAUCAGACCAAGGACGGUAUGUGUUGUGAAAUAGAUUCGCCUGUGGCUACCACAAGAAGAAAAAACAUAUAUAGAUAGUUCACAAAAGAUUAAAAUUCUUUGAGUAAAGCCACCCAGUCCAUAUCAAAGGUCAACCGGGCGAAAUUUAUAAGUCUAUGAUCACCAAUAAAUGGCCAAAAUCAUAAUUUCUUCACCAUAAAACGCGGCAUGGGAAAAUAUGAACAAGUUGCAUAGAUAAUUCAGCCCAUUCUGUUGCGGAAACGUGGGUUGAACAAUUACUAAUACUGCAACUUCUGAAGAAAUAUAAAUGUGGUGUUAAACAAAUGUAAAGAAAAUAUAACACAAUGAUUUACGUGGUUCGGCGUAAUGCCUACAUCCACGGGCAAAGACUGAAAGAUAAUUUUACUAACAAUGAAAAUUUACAAAAGUGGAAAAAACUCACAAAACCCACAACCCCAAUACACGCAAAUGGAACCUCACUAGAACACUUAAGUGGAAGCUCUCUCAAAUUCUCUCAAAGAACUCACUUGCAAUUGCUCUCUACUUCUCUCAAAUUGGGAUGAUUAACAAAUGAGGAAUUGCUUUCUAUUUAUAAGGAAAAAUGGGGUGCACUAUUGCACCUGAAAUACUAACUAGGCAACCCAAGAGGGGGGUGAAUUGGGAUUUUAAAAAUUAUCUUAGGCAAACCACACAACAAUUUAAUCUAAUGCCUUAAUAAAUUCGAAAACAAUAAAUUCAAUAAAAGCACAAUAAUAAAUGAGUAGGGGAAGAGAAAGCAAACUCAAGGAUUUUUACGUGGUUCGGCAAUCCCCGCCUACGUCCACGCCUCCAAGCACACCGGGCUUGAGGAUUCCACUAAGCAAGCCUCCAAGGCUUCAAACGCUUACAAUUGACUUCCAAGGUGUCAAUGGGCCUUUACAACAAGAGAUUAUCCCCAAUCUCUUAACCCAAGUGUAUCCCAACACUUACAAUCUUUUAACUUGAUUUUACAAAAAAGAUUACAAAUGAAUCUCUCUCACACAAUAUGUUUGAUCACAAGUGAAAGCUCAAUGUGUGAAUGAAUGAGAUGAAUACAAAGAUUUAAAGCUCAAUGAAAGUUGUAUUCUCUAUAUUUUGCUUAAUGAUGAUCGUUGGAAUGCUCUUUGUUUGAAUUGGAUUGAGCUUAUUUAUAGUUGGAGCUGAAAAACUAGACGUUAUAGACUGUCGGACAGAAAACGGUUCGUCGUUAACCCUAAACGGUUAACCGUUUCGGUCGGUCAAAGUUACCGUUGGGCUAAUUUUCAAAUAAACGGUUAGCCGUUUAGUCUUACCCUUUCGCCGUUAAUUUCCAGAGACCUGCAAAACAAAUUUGGUUUAACCGUUCUUACUAAACGGUUCAAGGUUAGCAAACUGGAAAUAAUCGGUUAACCGUUUUCAAUAAACGGUUCACCGUUAGUUUCCAGAAUCAUCAUAUUAACAAUACUUUAAAGAACAUGCUUUCUGGAAAUUAUCGGUUAGCCUUUUUAAAUAAACGGUUAGCCGUUUGCUACAGUGAUUGUUACAGUAACCUGCACAGUGCACUAUUUUCUAAAAUUACAGUUUGACCCCAAACCUUUACAAAACUGUACCAUAGCCCAACACGUCAUGAAACUUUGCAAAUAGGUCCAAUUUUAGAAUUUUUAAGUAAUGCUUUGUUAAUCCCAAAACUUUCUGAAAUUAUGUUAUAGCCCAAAAAUGCUAUGACACUUUUCAAAUAAGUCCUUUACCAAAAUUCAAGCAAUACUUGUUUAUUUCAAAGUUUUCAAAAUUCUUUCAAUUAAACCAUAAACUUUGAAAAACAACCAAUUUCAUAAAAUCAUUUUUCCAUUAAAUAUGAAACAUUUAUAAUGUGAAAAUAAUGAUUUAUUAUUUAAAAAGAAUAAAAACAAUCAAUUUCAUAAAAUCAUUUUUCCAUUAAAUAUAAAACCUUUAUAAUGUAAAAAUAAUGAUUUAUUUAAAAAGAAUAUUAAAUAAUUUGGGCUUAAAAGAUUAAUCAUUCUUAAUCUUGUUUGUUAUCAUCAAAAUCAAUAUUAUGGAAACAUAUAUGUUAACAGCACCAACCCCAACAAAAUUGUCAACAUAAAUUAGGCACCUACCUUAGGAAUUUGUCUUUAAAUUUGCUUCUCCAAAGUUGACUGCAUGCAUGGCAACAACCUGUCAAAUAUUUGUGCCACCAACCUCCAAUUUGUCAAGAAAAAAUCGUGUGGAAAAUAAGUUUUGUGGGCUGACUUUUCAACAAUUUUCCACCUCGGCAAAGAUUUAGUAAAUUUGAGCCGACUAUCAACAAACUACCUUCCAGUUUCUGCCUUCUCGGACUGCUUUUAAACUUGUAAGAUGUUGAUCAAGUUUAGACAAUACUCAAACUUGAUCGCCGUUACUACCUAGGUCAACAUAUCUGCGGGAUUAUCUGCAGUUUUAAUUUUCUAAAGAAGAAUCUUCCCCUCAUAAACAAUUUUCCACACAAAGUGAAAUCGCACAUCGAUGUACUUCGUACGCACAUGAUAAACUUGGUUCUUCGUUAAGUGAAUAGCACUCUGACUAUCGCAAUACACAUUAAUGUGCUCCUGUGUCAAUUCCAAGUUUUCAAGCAAACCUUGUAACUAAAUAGCCUCUUUAACAACCUCUGUAAUUGCCAUGUACUCGGCCUCUGUGGUCGAUAGUGCAACUGUAGACUGUAGUGUAGACUUCCAACUAAUUGGCCCUCCAGCAAAAGUAAAUACAUAUCCGGUGGUUGACCGUCGUUUGUCUAAAUCACCAGCAUAAUCAGAAUCAACGUACCCGAUCACACAUUGACCAAAUGUAUCGUCUCUUUCAAACAGUAAACUAACAUCCACGGUCUUCUGAAUGUACCGUAGAAUCCAUUUCACAACUUGCCAAUGUCCUUUACCAGGAUUAUACAUAUAUCUGCUCACUAUACCAACUGCAUGUGAAAUGUUAGACCUUGUACACACCAUUGCAUACAUCAAGCUACCAAGUGUAUUUGAAUACGGAACUUGUAACAUGUAUUCUCGUUCCGCAUCUGUUGAAGGAGAUAAUUGUGCAGAAAGCUUGAAAUGAGAAGCCAACGGGGUACUCACAGGUUUUGUCUGCUCAGUCAUGCCAAACUGUUGUAGUACAUUCUUCAAAUAUUGCUUCUGAGACAAGCUUACUUUGCCACGAGCUCCAUCUCUGCAUAUCUCCAUGCCAAGAAUUUUCUUAGCUUCACCUAAAUAUUUCAUUUUAAAUUCUUGAUUGAGUUGAGUCUUCAACUUCUCAAUCUCAUCUUUGCUCUUUGAUGCUAUUAGCAUAUCAUCGACAUACAAUAGCAAAUAAAUGAAAGAUCAUUUUUGUAACUUGCGAAAAUAUACACAAUGAUCAAAUUUAUUUCUUGUGUACCUUUGCCCUUUCAUAAAUCGAUCAAAUCGCUUAUACCACUGCCUUGGAGAUUGUUUCAAUCCAUAAAGCAACUUUAUCAAUUUGCAAACCCAGUUUUCUUUUCCAACAACCUUAAAUCCAUCUAGUUGAGUCAUGUAGAUUUCUUUUUCCAAAUCACCAUGUAAAAAUGCAGUUUUUACAUCAAGUUGAACUAGUUCAAGAUCAAAUUGCGCAACCAUGGCUAGCAAAAUUCGAAUAGACGAGUGUUUCACAACUGGAGAAAAUACCUCAUUGUAGUCUAUUCUUUCCUUCUGAGCGUAACCCUUCGCUACCAAUCUAGCCUUGUAUUGAAUUUCAUUUUUACGAGGAAAUCCUUCCUUUUUUGCAUAUACCCAUUUGCACCUAAUUGCCUUCUUCUCAUUGGACAGUGUAACUAACUCCCAAGUUCAUUUUUGUGAAGAGAUUGCAUUUCUUCGUUCAUUGAUUUCUUCCACUGUAUACUUUCUGGAUUACUUACUUCUUCUCUGUAAGUGGAAUGAACAUCAUCAUCUACAAUUGGAAGUGCAUAGGCCACCAUAUCAACAAAGCGAGCAGGUUUGCGAAUCUCUCUGAGUAGCCUUAUAUAUGCAAUUGAAUCUUGUUGCUGUGAAGGUUCCUGGGUCAGAACCUCUUCAUCAUUUUCGGUCGAUGGAGAAUCAUUAUCCAUCUCAUCGACACCAGCUGGAUCAGCUUUAACUUUUUCAAACUCCACUUGCUGCAAAGUGCUACUGGUCUUGUCAUCCUCUUGAGAAUCUUUUUGUUUCAACAUGACUGAUUCAUCAAAAGUUACAUUUCUGCUGAAAAUAAUCUUCUUCGUAACAAGACACCAAAGACGGUAUCAUUUUACUCCACCAGUUAUACCCAUAAACAAUACUUUCUUUGCUCUUGGGUCUAACUUAGAUUCUUUUACAUGAUAAUAAGCAGUGAAACCAAAAACAUGUAAAGAAUUAUAAUCAAUAACAGGUUUAUCAAUCCACAUCUCUAUGGGUAUUUUGCCCUCAAUUGCAGUUGAUGGCAAACGAUUGAUCAGAUGGCACGCAUAUACAACUGCCUCAGCCCAAAACUCUUUGCCCAAUCGAGCAUUGGACAACAUACAUCGAACUUUCUCCAGUAUAGUCUGGUUCAUGCGUUCUGCCACCCCAUUCUGUUGUGGUGUAUCUCGAACAAUGAAAUGUCGCACAAUACCCUCAUCUUGGCAUAUUUGAAGAAAUAGAUCAUUCUUGUACUCACCACCAUUGUCUGAGCGAAAUCUUUUGACCUUUCGACCAGUCUGAGUCUCGACCAUUUUCUUCCAUUUCAGAAAUAUGCCCAAAACUUCAUUUUUGUUCUUCAUUAAAUACACACACACUUUUCUUGAAUAAUCAUCAACAAAAGUAACAAAAUAGUGCAUACCUCCCAAAGAAGCUGUUUUGGUAGGUUCCCACACAUCACUGUGAACAUAGUCCAGAAUUCCUUUUGUAUCGUAAAUUGCUGAACUAAACUUUACCCUUGUCUACUUGCCCAGAACACAAUGUUCGCAAAAUUCUAAUUUGCAAGAAUUUGUACCUUUCAAUAAGUCUUGCUUCGCCAAAGUUUGCAAAGUUUUUUCACCAGCAUGUCCCAAACGCAUAUGUCACAACUUGGUUGCUUCUGAAUCUGCAUCUUUUCCAAAAAUUGUUGAUGCUGAUAUAAUAACUGUACUUCCUUGGAAAUAGUACAAGUUAUUUCUUCUUGUGCCUUUCAUUACCGUCAGCGCCUCAACUACUACCUUCAACAAUCCAUCUCUUAAAGAGAUUGUGAGCCCUUUAGAUUCUAGGACUCCUAAUGAGAUGAGAUUUUUCUUCAAGCUUGGUAUAUAGUGAACAUCUGUCAAAACAUGGAUUGAGCCAUCAUGAUUCUUUAAUUGGAUUGUACAUAUUCCCAUGGUUUUACAAGCAUUGUCAUUGCCCAUAAAAACAACUCCACCGUCUAGCUCCUUGAAGUUAGAAAACCAGCCCUGUUAGGACACAUAUGAUAAGUACAACCCGAAUCCAAAAUUCACUCAUUUGAGUGACAUAUCAAUGUCAUGCCAACCAGACUAAAGUCUGACUUCUCAUCAUGCUCUGUUACACAUGCAUCAAAAGUAGCCUUGCCCUUUUGUAACUUAGGACAAUUCUUUUUCCAAUGCCCUUUCUCGCGACAAAAAGCACAUUCAUCUUUGGCAGGUCUCCCUUUAGAAUUGUUCAUUUUUCCAGGUUUGCGGUUUUGCGAACGACCUCUCGUUGUUCGUGCUUCUGCAACUGUAUCUCUAUGAUCCUUUUUAUCUUUCUUUUUGGUUUCAGAGUUGUACAAUGCAUUGCAUACAACAUCGAAUGUGAUAAUGUCCUUCCCAUGAAGCAAAGUAGUGGUGAGAUGAUCAUAUUCAUUAGGAAGGGAAUUCAAUAACAACAGUGCCUUAUCUUCAUCUUCAAAUCUCUCAUCCAGAUUUAGCAAAUCCGCCAAUAUCUUGUUGAAUGAGUUCAUGUGGUCAUUCAUUGACAUGCCAUGUGUAUAUGUAAAUCGAUAGAGUUUCUUUUUCAUAUAAAGCUUAUUUUCAAGACUUUUCUUCAUAUACUUUUCUUCCAGUGUUUCCCACAAUUUCUUUGCCGAUGUCUCCCUUAUGACAGAGUAUUUCUGAUCUUUAGCCAUACAUAGGCGAAUAGUACAACAUGCCUAUCUAUUGAUUUUUAUCCACUCCUUGUCAUCCAUCACGUCAGGCUUUUCUUCAAGAACAACGUCCAACUCUUGUUGACAUAAGACAUCCAACACCUCACAUUACCACAUACCAAAAUUAUUGGUACCAUCGAAUUUCUCUAUUUCAAACUUUGCAUUAGUCACAGUAGUUCUCGCUGAUGAAGACGACGACGAUGCCUCUGCCAUCCUUUUUAUCUCAAAUGAUCAGUUUCUUCAACAACUAUUUACACUUAAAAAACAAUCUCUAUGAUAUUUAUUUCGCGUGAAUAAAUGCACCAGGAAAGUUCCCAGGAGACUGGACGGGAACUCGGUCCCAAUUAAAAACCAGAAUCUUUAGACUCUUAUCACCUUUGUUGACAGAACUUUCCUAGACAUGCAAAAAUACACACUACUUACAAUAGACUGUCUCCUAAGUAUAAAUGAUCGUCUCCACCGUAUUUGUGAACAGUAUCGUAUAUAGGAAUAGUACCAUAUACAUGAACAGUACCGUAUACUCCUAAGUACGAACUGUCGGCUCUGAUACCACUUGUUGCGGAAACGUGGGUUGAGCAAUUACUAAUACUGCAACUUCUGAAGAAAUAUAAAUGUGGUGUUAAACAAAUGUAAAGAAAAUAUAACACAAUGAUUUACGGGGUUCGGCAUAAUGCCUACAUCCACAGGCAAAGACUGAAAGAUAAUUUUACUAACAAUAGAAAUUUACAAAAGUGGAAAAAACUCACAAAACCCACAACCCCAAUACACGCAAAUGGAACCUCACUAGAACACUUAAGUGGAAGCUCUCUCAAAUUCUCUCAAAGAACUCACUUGCAAUUGCUCUCUACUUCUCUCAAAUUGGGAUGAUUAACAAAUGAGGAAUUGCCUUCUAUUUAUAAGGAAAAAUGGGGUGCACUAUUGCACCAACCCCAACAAAAUUGUCGCACCUACCUUAGGAAUUUGUCUUCAAAUUUGCUUCUCCAAAGUUGAAUGCAUGCAUGGCAACAACCUGUCAAAUAUUUGUGCCACCAACCUCCAAUUUGUCAAGAAAAAACCGUGUGAAAAAUAAGUUUUGUGGGCUGACUUUUCAACACAUUCCUCGUUUUAAGUCUGGACAAGUACUAAUGCCUUUGAAUAACUUCACGGGCAUUAUAUACACGCUAACAAAGCUAGGUGAA